UGGGGAAUAUUGCACAAUGGGCGCAAGCCCGAUGCAGCAACGCCGCGUGAACGAUGAAGGUCUUCGGAUCGUAAAGUUCUGUUGCAGGGGAAGAUAAUGACGGUACCCUGUGAGGAAGCCCCGGCUAAGUACGUGCCAGCAGCCGCGGUAAUACGUAGGGGGCUAGCGUUAUCCGGAUUUACUGGGCGUAAAGGGUGCGUAGGUGGUCCUUCAAGUCGGUGGUUAAAGGCUACGGCUCAACCGUAGUAAGCCGCCGAAACUGAAGGACUUGAGUGCAGGAGAGGAAAGUGGAAGUCCCAGUGUAGCGGUGAAAUGCGUAGAUAUUGAGAGGAACACCAGUAGCGAAGGCGGCUUUCUGGACUGCAACUGACACUGAGGCACGAAAGCGUGGGUAGCAAACAGG
rnacentral:rRNA from 1 species